CUCACCGUCAAGUGAGGGUCCAGUCUUCAGGUGUCCUUGAUGGCAGGUGGACGAAUUUGUGUCAGUGGUUGAAAUUUUAUGAAGAUAUCUGAGAAAAAAAUAAUGGUUUUGUUUGAUAUUGGUUGUGAACAUCUAAGGUGGUCUUCAGCUUAGAAACUCAUGAAGGAGGUAAUCUACGAUAUUGAAGAAAAUUGUUUGAAGGAGGAAACCUAACAUAUUUAGAUAAAAUUAUCUAAAGGAGAUUUAGUCGACUGAAGAAGCUGAUUUCUAAGCUGACAACUGAUUUGCCCAGAUGGGAAAAACUUUAUAUAGUCUUCCCUUGUUGCUCUGUCAGAUGUGUUGCCGUUUUCUCUGUCUCUGCUGAAGGGUGUUAGUCAGUUUCAAAUGUAAAAAAAGAGGGUAUGUCAGUGGGAAGCGUUAAGGUGAAACCUCUUGAGAUAAGCCUUAGCUUAAGGUUCUACUGUUAUGACUAUGAUUCUUUACAUUAGCAAAUGCAUUGCUUAACUUUGUGGUUGUCUUGUGUAGCUGACGUAGUGACCCUGUAGGUUUUUACAGCCUGAAUUUUGUGCCAAAAACGGGUGUAAAAGCACCCCCACCCCCCAAAAAAUGGUUAUUUCAGUUUCUCUGAAUAAUAUGUUAGAAAAUCCAACGGUUUGCAUACAAUUUGUCAUUAUAUUUUCUGUUUUCCUUUGAGGUUCAAGCGAAACUUUCUUCCACUUCUUGUUACUGGAUAUGUGUCUUGGGUUUAAUCUUGUAGAAAGCGAGAAACAAUAAGAAUUAACUAGCUGGUAACGAUGUAUAUAUUUUCGAAUGCCUUAAGCCACUGUGUCAUUGGCUUGGUGACAGACUGAUACCGUUUCCUUGAGGUCUGUGGAACAAUUAGGUGUUAUUUGUAGAUAUAAUAUUAUUUGCCUUCAGAGAUUUUUCACAAUAGGCAACUGACUGAAAUAACUUAGUAUUGUGAGAUGCAAAAAUACUCGAUAUGAAUGAUUUCAGAUUCUUGGAUGAGCUUUUUUGAGGGAAAAUGGGCAAUUCAGGGAGAUUUUUCAUUCUGAAUUGUUACUUUUCACUUAGAAUUGAAUUGAUUCCCUUAUUUAAAUUACUGUUUACUGGCUAAGUCUAUUAACAGUUACGUAAUAUGUUAAAAUACCAUCUACUAAGAUUAGAUAUCUUUAUUCUUGGUCAAAGUUUAUUUUUGCUGGUUUGAUUUUUUUAUAUAGUUUACAUGAAGCUAUUUCACAAGUAACUGAUAAGCAGUGAAUAUAAUUCAAACAUUCUCCCAGAUGUCUACGAAGGUACAAAGUAAGACUUAUAUAUAAGCGCUUUUAGAAAGUGAUAAGUCAUCCUUUUGGUCGAGUACAUGACAAAACUUUUUAUUAUACUUAAGGCACAUGCCAUCACUUCAAAAGGCGGUAACUGCUUCGGGCUCAAACGCUUCCUCGUCGUAGGUUUAGGCAUUUCAUUCGCGUAUUUGAAAAAAGGAGGAAUAAAUCCCACGAUGGCAAUGUUUUUUAGGGAAGUGUGAGACUCCUUGCAAAUUCAUAACAUCGUCAGGAAAUAGACCAAAAAAAAAAGGUGUAUAACAGAAGCCUUUUGAGAACUUUUGGUGAAUUUGUUUGUCUUAGGGUAAACAGACACACCUUUUUGAUGAGUUUAUUAAGGUAAAGAUGAUUAGGAAGGUUUUGAAGUGUUGGUAUCUUAGUGUUAUAUUUCUUAUACUAUAAAUUAUAUGCUGUGAGUUUCCUGGUUCUGUGGAAUAUCCAAAUUUUGGUUUCAAGCAGAAUUGCUGCUUCUGUCAUUCAGAGUAGUUAGGUAAUAUUGGGCUAUCCUACCGCUUUAAUUCAUUUUACUGUA